rnacentral:tRNA from 1 species
GGCUAUGUGGGUGAGCGGUUUAGCCGACGUCCUCAUAAGGCGUUUCACACUGGUUCGAAUCCAGUCAUAGCCA